CAGAGGAAGAGCGCUAGGAGACAGUGUUGUAGUUAGGGAUUAUUGUGGAGUUCUCAGGGUACAAGACAACAGUCAGGUUCCAGAGUCUUUCAUCUUCCAUGCUAAGUGGGGAGACAAAGAAAGCAUUCACAGACACGGCACAUGUCACAUGGGGCAGUCUAAUGGCAUUAGAACAGUUCAGUGAAGUAUUAAUGAAUUUACAGUGAUGACAGCUCAACAGUGCUAUGGUUUAAUCUACUCUGUGGACAACUGCCCCUCCUCGUCAUCCCAGCCUGUCCUUCUCAAAGACCCCGUACAGAGCCACUGCAGCACUCUAGUUGUGUGAGUGUGAUUUGCCCAUUACUUUGAGAUUUCUAAAAAUCCAGGCUCCAUCCACUGAAGAAUUCAAAGGAUCACUGAUGGAGGAAUGAUGGCAGUAGAAUCACCUGCAUGCAUCAGCUGCGUGGAAACACCCAAGUGUGUACAGGGAUAUCAAACCAAGUCCUAUGCACGUUCGAGGUAAUACAUGAGCAGGAUCUGCUCCCAGUCCUGAACCUCUUUGAACGGUGACCAUACAAUUUUUUUUCACCUAAGCUCUGGGAGAAGAUCCCUGCUCAGCCAAGUUGGCUUUCUGCCCCACCUGCAUGACUUUGGACGUUAUGGAAUUGCUUGGUAAGAAGUGGUACUUUAAAAGUGACCAGCACUGGUGGACUCCAAUGCCUUCAGAAGCAGUUUUCCUAGGGAACUUACCAAAUAGUUCCCCGAGCAGCAUGAAGUCUGAUUUCCCCAUAUCCAAUGUUACUGUGGCUCUUUUUCUCCUAUCACCAAGGACUAUAUGUUCACCAAUCUCAUGGUCACUAUAGCCAAGACAGCCUCCACGCACCAUUUCACCCACGAGACCUUCUCUGCUUACAAGCAACAAAUCUAUGAGGCACCUUUCCUAGUUGACUCCCUUGGUAUCUGUAGCAAGAAGUACUACCAAAGACAUAAAAAUAUUUGUCUCUCUGGAAGAUCUCAGUCUUAUCCAUGAAAUCUCCCUCUUUUUUCUACUGGUCUGAAGCACACACUGAUAUUGAACAUUUCAGGAACUCCUCCAACCUUUGUGAAACAGUUGAAUUUACUAUGUGCAGAUUAUAAAUGACAUCAAUUUUGAAGGGUCAAGGUAUGAAAUAUGAUGUUGUUGCAAUACAUUUACUGUACCCACUAACUCUCACCAUCUGUACAUCACAGACAUCACUGAACUAGCACAUUUUCUCUGAAAAAAAAGAAGAAAGAUCUUCAAAAUACAGUAUUUUCUCAGAAUCUUGCAAGCUUUAGAAGUUUAUUCUCUUUCCAAGGAACAGUUACAAAAGAGGUAAGAUUUAAGGCCACAUCAGAGCUGGGUAAAUAACUUUUUGUGUAUAUGAACUCUGAGGGCACUGAAACUUGGGAACUUGGGGUAAUAUCCACUCAUAAAUUCAACCAGAAACAGAGAGUGGUGCAAAUAUAAAAAGCCACAAUAUUUAAGUUCCGUGUUGUCAUUUUCAAUGAAAUUACUUAAUUUGAAAGCACUGGAUAUUUUGCUACGAUAUCUUUUAAACAAAACAUUUGAAAUCAUGUUUUUAAAUACCACUCUUAACUACUGCUUGUUUAUCGUAAUAAAUUAAUCAAAACGUCUUUGAAAGGUUCCAAUAUGUACUUCCCCAAAUCCUCGGACUGUAUUUUUUCUCCUCUAAACAAAAAUCAUUGUUCUUCAGAUGACUUUCUCAUGGUGUGUAAUAUGCCGGGCUGCUGCUUGCACUACAGUUGGAUUUACUUUUUAGAACAUUUUCUGAAAUAUGCUUUAAAGAUAAUUCAUUUGACCUAAAUAUUAUCUAAAUCCCUGAGCCUGUUGCCUCCUAUUGGCCAGCCCAAGGCCCUCAGAGACAUCAAAAUCUUAACUGGAGAUUAACUUGUUUGAAGGUGGUCCUAGAUUUAUUGCAAUUCAUUACAUUGACCUAUAGAGUAUAUAUAGCAACUAAUACAGUACUUGACAUAUGUUUUUUUCUUGAUUGUUCGUACGGUUCAUUUGCACCUUUGCUAAGUGAAUAGGAAUAUUUAGAAGAAUAUUUUCUGAGAC
ensembl:lncRNA